GAAACUCCCGAACGUCCUGGAGGCUCAGCGGUGUUCGUGCCGUCGAGUAGCCGUUUUUAGUACCAUGUGCUCGACGACCUAGCACCGCUGAGGGAACAAAGGAUCCAAGAUGGCCGACCGCCGCAUGGUCGGUAGUCGAACGACGGCCACCCAGGAGAGCCUCUAAUUACCGAUUGCAACAUUGUUGCAAUCGGUUAACCAGCGCCACA